rnacentral:rRNA from 1 species
UACGGAGGGUCCAAGCGUUAUCCGGAUUUAUUGGGUUUAAAGGGUGCGUAGGCGGUUUGAUAAGUUAGAGGUGAAAUACCGGUGCUUAACACCGGAACUGCCUCUAAUACUGUUGAACUAGAGAGUAGUUGCGGUAGGCGGAAUGUAUGGUGUAGCGGUGAAAUGCUUAGAGAUCAUACAGAACACCGAUUGCGAAGGCAGCUUACCAAGCUAUUUCUGACGUUGAGGCACGAAAGCGUGGGGAGCAAACAGG